CAACUUUUGGUUUUCUUGAGGACUAGCUCUUCUGUGCACGGAAUUAUAUGGAAAAGAAUGAGGGAAUGCAGAAUAUGACUACAUGAUGAGGAACUGAGACAGGACAUCCUACUUCCUGAUGGUGACAAGGCUUCAGGAUUCAACUCUAUUAUCUUUUCCCUCAUGGAAAUAAGAUGAUGAAGAAGAGUAUUAUCUGGGACAAAAUUAUUUUCUUUAG
rnacentral:lncRNA from 1 species